rnacentral:misc_RNA from 1 species
CCAAUUGCACUUCGCGGACAAGUUCACCAUGUUAUUUUCAGAUCCUCCAUGUAUAAAAGAAAAAAAAGCUCCCUUUGUCACCCAGAAUCUAUCUCCUCCUCAAGAGUGAAUUGUUUCUAUUAAGAUAGGAGUGAAAAAUUUGAAACAAAAAAAAAAAAUCUAAUUCAUUACUGCAAAUCUGUAUCGAAUCAAGACUCAACAAUCCAACAAAUCAAGGCUUGUUCGAAAUUUCAAAUAAAAUCUGUUGAAAUUGAUAAAACAAAAAGAUUUGCUAGGAGUGUUGGUCUCAUUGUUGAAAUAAAAGGCACAAGAUGGGAUUUUUUGAUGGCUUGCCUGUUCCUCCUGAUAAAGAGUAUUUGAGGGGGGAGCUUUCACAAAUAGAUGAGAGUUGGGCUGCUGCACGUUUUGAUUCAUUACCUCAUGUUGUCCAUAUUUUGACAUCAAAAGAUCGUGAAGGUGAGGUCCAAAUUUUGAAGGAACAAAGUGAUGUUGUUGAGGAGGUUGUGGAUGAAGUGGUGCAUGCUUAUCAUAGUGGGUUCAACAAAGCAAUUCAAAAUUAUUCUCAGAUCUUGCGGUUAUUCAGUGAAUCUGCAGAAAGUAUUGUCACACUAAAGGUCGAUUUGGCUGAAGCAAAGAAGCGUCUUGGCACCCGGAACAAACAAUUGCAUCAGCUAUGGUAUCGGUCUGUUACCCUGCGGCACAUUAUCUCACUACUGGAUCAAAUUGAGGGCAUAGCGAAGGUUCCGUCACGUAUUGAGAAACUCAUUGCUGAAAAGCAGUAUUAUGCAGCAGUUCAAUUACAAGUUCAGUCAACAUUGAUGCUUGAGCGAGAAGGUCUUCAAACAGUUGGUGCUCUUCAAGAUGUUCGGUCUGAGUUGACAAAGUUGAGAGGAGUUCUUUUCUAUAAAGUUUUAGAGGAUUUGCAUGCUCAUCUUUACAACAAAGGAGAGUAUAGCUCAAUUGCCUCAAGCAUGAAUGAAAGAGAUGAUGAAUUGCCAACCACCACUGUUGUUGCUUUUACAAUGAGUAAUUCACAAUCUUUAUCUCGAAGAACCAGAUUAAUGAAAGGUGACAAUCAUGGAUUCAUUGAAGGAUCAUAUAGAUCUGGUUCUGUUGAUGGAGGUUCGUCGUUGGAUGGCCAUGAUGAGGAGGGUACUUUGGAACCACAGGAUGAAUCGAAGGACAUAAAGAGUGGUGCACAAAUUCCUCGUCAAGUACCACGUUGGCUUUCAAAUUCCACUCCUGAUGAAUUUGUUGAGAUAAUAAAAAAGAGUGGUGCUGCACUUCAUGUGAAAUAUUUGCAGACAAUGGUUGAGUGCCUCUGUAUGCUGGGCAAAGUUGCAGCUGCUGGUGCAAUGAUAUGCCAGAGAUUGCGACCCACAAUUCAUGACAUUAUCACUUCCAAGAUAAAAGCUCAUGCAGAACUUGUUAACUCUUCAAAGUCUGGAACUUGUCAGGCUGCCCAAACUGCUACCACAGGUCUUCAUUUUCUGAAAGGACAGUUAGAAAGCUACCAGUUACCAAAACAGAAGCUUCAGAAUGGGAUAUCAGUGGCAGCAACUUUAUUGUCAGUGAGCCCUGUUUCACCAGUAAUGGCUCCUGCAGGGAAAGCACAGGCUGCUGCAAAGGAUCUUCUUGAUUCAAUUUUGGACACCGUUGUGCGAAUAUUUGAGAAUCAUGUUGUUGUUGGAGAGCUUUUGGAGUCAAAAUCUACUCAGAAUGCUGAUAUGAACACACCAAGGUCAAUGAUAAUAGAUGUAAAUUUCCCUGAUUCUGAAACAUCUCAAGCUACUGGAGGCUACAGCAUAGGCUUUUCCUUGACAGUUUUGCAGAGUGAAUGCCAACAACUUAUAUGCGAAAUUCUGCGAGCAACUCCUGAAGCUGCAUCUGCAGAUGCUGCUGUUCAAACUGCUAGACUUGCAAGCAAAGUUCCUUCUGUGGAAAAAAAGGAUGGUUCAGAAGAUGGCCUUACCUUUGCUUUUCGGUUCACAGAUGCUAGUAUAUCUAUUCCUAACCAGGGCGUUGAUCUCAUUCGUCAAGGAUGGAGUCGAAGGGGUCCAAAUGUCAUACAAGAAGGCUAUGGGUCUGCUGCUGUCUUGCCUGAGCAAGGCAUAUAUCUCGCAGCAUCUGCAUACCGGCCUGUCCUUCAGUUCACUGAUAAGAUUGCUUCAAUGCUGCCAAAAAAAUAUUCGCAACUUGGGAAUGAUGGAUUGCUAGCAUUUAUAGAGAACUUUGUUAAGGACCACUUUUUACCAACUAUGUUUGUGGACUACCGGAAGGGUGUUCAGCAAGCUAUAUCAAGUCCAGCUGCAUUUCGCCCUAGGGCACACACUACUGCUGCUUAUACCUCGUCAAUUGAGAAAGGUCGACCUGUCUUGCAGGGACUUUUGGCAAUAGAUUUCUUAGCAAAAGAGGUGUUUGGUUGGGCUCAAGCAAUGCCAAAAUUUUCUAGUGAUCUGGUGAAGUUUGUGCAAACUUUUCUUGAACGAACAUAUGAAAGAUGUCGAACAUCAUACAUGGAGGCAGUUCUGGAGAAGCAGAGUUACAUGCUGAUAGGGAGGCAUGAUAUUGAGAAAUUGAUGCGUCUUGAUCCCGCAAGCUCAUGUUUGCCAAAUCCACUUGGUAAAGCAAAUAUGAACAAUGCCUCAGAUUCUGAAUCUGCCAGUAUCGAAUCUGAACUGAUUGAAUUAUUUUUGAAUUUGCGCCCUAUCAAGCAGGAAAAUCUAAUUCGUGAUGAUAACAAACUAAUUUUGCUAGCAUCCCUUAGUGAUUCAUUGGAGUAUGUAGCAGACUCAAUUGAAAGGCAAGUUCUUAUGUUUCCAAAAAUUUAUCCUGUAUUGUUCUUUGUCUACCCUCAUGGGGUUAGAAAUAGACAAGUGUGCAAUUGGAAAAGUAAUGCUAACUUGAGAAAACAUGAUUCCUUCAUUUUCAAUUUUGUUUGAAUAUUUGUCCAUACUAAUUGUUUUUGGUUUCUGAUCCUGUGGGAUGAAUUGAUCUUCCUGGGUUGGUGUAACCGUUACCUCCUGUUAUUUUAUUAUUAUUCAUCUUAGAAGUGUACACGUGCUAUUUCCUUGAUGCGGUAGGCUUUUCCAACUCUGCGUUUUAGGUUUAAAGUUGCCUAUCCUAUACGACCUCUAUUAGUGGACUAGCAACUAAUUGAUUCCCUCCCUCCUAUUAGUGGGCUUAACAACUAAUUGAUUUUCUCCCUCCUGUUGGUGGACUUAACAACUAAUUGAUUUUCUCUUCUUUAGCAUAUCAAUGACCUUGACAAUAAAUGGAUAAUGCUGCCUGGUCUUGUGUGGUACCCUGUUUCCCUAGGCUACUCUACUUCCUCCCAGCUGGCAGCUGUCAUGCUCAAGCAACAUAAACCCACCCACCGCCCCCCAAAAACCCAAAAAAAAAAAAAACAAGGGAAAGCAACAAUUAAU